UAAAAACUAAAAACUUAUUAAUUGCACAUUUUUUAAGUAGCCAAGUCAAAUAUUGCAUUUGCAUAAUGAAGAAGCCAUGGACAGACACAAAAGAGAAAAAGAGACUAUUAAAAAAUAAAAAUUAAACAAAAAUAAUUACGACUAAAACUGUUGUGUGGACCGCGCCACACCUCUCUAAUAAAACCAACGGCUGCGAUGCAUCGUCAGCGUGAUUGAUGCGAUGAAACCAUUACACACCGUUGGAUCUGAUCAAAAACG
rnacentral:lncRNA from 1 species